rnacentral:rRNA from 1 species
UACGUAGGUGGCAAGCGUUGUCCGGAUUUUACUGGGCGUAAAGGGCGUGCAGGCGGUCUGUUAAGUCUAGGGUGAAAGCUCCCGGCUCAACUGGGAGAGGUCCUUGGAUACUGGCAGACUUGAGGAGAGUAGAGGAGAGUGGAAUUCCCGGUGUAGUGGUGAUAUGCGUAGAUAUCGGGAGGAACACCAGUGGCGAAGGCGGCUCUCUGGACCAGCACUGACACUGAGGCACGAAAGCGUGGGGAGCAAACAGG